AUUCAUCAGGCAGCCAGGCCCAAUUAUCAUGUCACACUGAAUGAAUGUAUUUUAAAAUCUUUUCUGACAAGAAAAUGUUCCAAGUAGAUACCUUCAAAUUAGCUGGAAAAUCCAGAAAAUUCGCUAUUAGACCUUCUUUGAAGAGUCUUUAUUCCCCCCUACUGUUCCAGAGGAAUUCCUUGGAUAUUAUUAAUUCCCUCUAAGAGUAUGACCUUGUGCCCCCUGCUGGGACUGGAACACUUUGUCUGCCUGACUUCCCUAGAGCCACGGCAGAGAUGAUACACACCACAGCCCUAACAGGGGAUCACCUGUCCAUCAAUUUCAAGUGUCAGAUGGGCUCUCUGGUAGAAAUUCAGUUACAUUCAAUUCCACCAACAUUUACAGAGCAUUUUUUUUUUUUCUGUGUCUGUGAGCCCCGUGGUAAGAGCUGAGUUCCAUCCAGCUCUUGUCCUUUCAGGGACACUCCACGAACAGAGAUGUGCUUAUAAACAGACACAUGUCAGGGGGAGGUCGUGUGGCACAGUGGAAAGCCAGACAGACUACACUUUGAGGCUUGAUUCGGCUACUGGCUGUGUGACCUUGGGCAGGUGACCUUAUCUCUCUGAGCUUUGCUUUCCUUACCUCGAAAAAUGGGAGAAAUGAUACCUAACUCCUGUUAGGCUGUUGCUCCAUGUCAUGGGACAUAGACUGUCCCUCCCUCUGACCUAACUAUGGUCAAGACCCGGUGUUCCAAUGUCAUCUCUACCUCCCAGGGUCGAGGGGUCCCCUGACCCCCUCUCCAUUCACACACAGCAGUAUUCCUGCUGCUUUAUUUUCCAUUUCAUGUUGCAGAUGGCUCCAUUUGGCUGUGGUCUGGGAGAAGAGAUUGCUCUAGCCUAAUGAGAAAUUGCAUCAAAUGCAGCAAUACCUGGAACUUAUGGCUCUGAUGUGGAGCUCUGGAAAGGCAAAAACAGCAUUUGGAGGAGAAGAGAUUGCUUCAGGGAAUUCACUUCCAAAUGAAUAUAGAACAACCUGCUUUGGUUUCUUCAUAUCACAGGGAAGGAAACACCAUCCUGCCAGCUGUUUGAGGAGAAGGAGCCAGCCCAAGAAGGAGAGGCCAAAGACUCAGGACAGAGAGAUGGAGCAGAAUGGAAGGAACAGGAAUCAGAACCUGCCACCCACCCAGGCGAUACACUUUAACAAAAGGGCUUCCUCUAGGCUCUUCCCUUUUUUCCUCCCUUUGAAGGGGGGAAGCUGA
rnacentral:lncRNA from 12 species